ACAAAUAACAUCAUUAUCUACCCAAGUCACCAGAUUGGAAAACUGGUAACCAGCCAAAAUGUGCGUCUCUUGCUCAAACUCCACACAGAAUGUCAUGUCCAACUGAUUCUACCUCCAAAUUAGCGUUUGGAUUUCUUCCCUCCUGUCCAAAAAAGGUGGCAUAGUCUUCUAUAAGCUCUCACCUGAAAUAACAACACAACUUACUUCCUUGUUGCCAACCUUACUGUACUCAAUUCAUUUUCACUGCAGACACAAGAAAACUUUCUAAAACAUAAAUUUGACUAUAUUACUUUACUACUCUGAACCUUUAGAGGACUCCUUAUUAUCUAUAAGGGAAAACCCAAACCUCCCUAUGUUUACCAGAUCUGCUUACCUGUUCCCCUUGUCAGGUACAAUCUUUCCCAUACACUCUAUGCCUCAACCACAAGAAAAUGUCUACAAAAUGCCAGGAAACUCUCACAUAUCAGUGUGUUGAUUUACCAUCUUCUUCUCCCUACUGCAGUAAGUUCCCUUCACUAGGUCAGACAGUUAAAUCAUCUUCCAGUUAAGUGUAAGGAUUCUUCCUUUGUAAUACUUUGUGAUACCUUGGAAAUGUCAAGGGUUUUCUCCUUAAUGCUCCCACAGUAAUUGUAACAUUCACCAGAACUGUAACUGUUUCUUAUUUUUUCUUCCACCUCAUACAAGAGAUGCUUCCAGCAGGGUCCAGAAUAGUGUUGGCUUAGAAAUAUUGUCUGUGCAGUACAUAGUGCUCUCUGCUGUGUCAACUGAUACAAUAACCCUAAAUAAUUGGCAAGGUAAGGGUUAUUAACUUUAUUAUACAGAUGAGUAAUCUAGAGCUCAGAAAGGUACUGUGAAUUGUCCAGUAAAAGUGGAAUGAGAAAUAAGUGCUCCUUCCAUUAAACCACAAUAUCCCCCAGGUUGCUCAAAGCACAAACAGAGCAGCGCCAAUAUUCCACAUAUGAACAUCACUAACCAGCUGAACAGGGAUAUGCAAAUUAGUUAACUGAUGCAGAAAUCAGACACUAAUGUGCAAACAAACAAGGACUUAUUUGAGCUAAGUGGGCAUGAAUAUGCAAAUGAACUGGCUGCAAUUCAGUAGAUGUCAUCACAAUUCUACGAAUGAACAUUCUAUAUUAUGACUAUUACAAUAUUCAUGUAGCAUUCAUACAUACUAUCAUAUAUUACUGUAAUGUGGGCUUUUCAAGUUUAAAUUUGUGGAAAAGCCAAAAGUAACUUGAUGCAUAUUUUCAUCCACAUCAUAAUCUCAAGCUGGAAAUCAGAUGUGAGCACACAGAAUUCUGCAAUCUCCAUACUGAACCAAGCUGCCAUCAUCAUUUACAGUUCAAGAUGAGCUAUUUUUAACCUAAGCUCCCAUGCAACGGAAAGAAAAAUUGACCCCCAUGAACCAAACCACUGGGAAGCAAAGCUUGCAGAGAUACUCCUCCUAUCUUGCUGAACAUUAUAAAAGCAAAAGACUCAUAUUUAAAAGUCCCAUAUUUUAAUGAACUUUUUGAAGACUGGGAAACUUAUAGUGGUUCUGUACCAUGCUCUAAGAAGAAAAUUUCUCUGCAACUUGGCAAAUUUUAAAGUGUUUUUUAAUACAUACUGCAGUUUCUUCAUGGGCUAGAUAACUCAAGAGCAACUUUCCUACUUCAUAAAGCUUAUGUACAGUGUGACUGAAAAGAACAAACCAUUUGCAUAGCCUACACUGCUGCUUAAACUUAAAAACACAUGGAAACCUAGCAGGAUGAUAAUGGCUGACAGCAGCCCCACCUCCUUUUACAGUCCCUCUCUUUUUGUACAGUGAUCUUUCUAUCCUACUUUGCACUGUGACUGUCCUCAUUCUCUCUGUGACUGAAUCAACUAAUAUCUCUUGAACAUUUACUGUAUGAGGCACUGUGGAAAGCACAAGAAUUAUAAUGCUAUUAAAAUACUACUUCACUAGUGGAACUUACAGUUUUAUGUGAGUUUUGUCCCACAAUUUAAUAUAGCAAGUACUCAGGAAGAGAACAAUGAAGAUAUGGCAAGAAUACAUAACCCAGAGUGUAUAUGUGUUUGUGAUAGGCUGGGGAGCAGAGUAGCCAGCAAGGAAGAUUAUCAGCAUAAAUGAUCAUUAAAUUUGACGUAGAAAA